ensembl:lncRNA
AUGAUAAAAAGAUAUUUCUCCACAGCGCUACGGACGCAGACGCAUUCAAAGGCUUCAUCUCUCGCCAGCUCCUCUACAGAAUCACUCUUAAUGAAAGCUUCAGCUCCAGCUCUCCAAGCCCAGAUUCAGUCGCAGCCGUCUAACCCUCGGCCUGCAAACCAAGCGGUGGCCAUCGCUUUCAAAAAAUCAGAAGAAUCUAAUUUCCUCUCUGGAGGAGACGACAUUCCAGUCGUAAGGCCUUCCUGUCAUCUGCGGGCCAUGAGCGUCUCACAGCAACUAAAUGCCAGAAGAAACAAAGAAGAGAAAGAAGAGAAUGAGAGUUUACACACAGAGGGAACGUCAGGUUUCUCUCACCUGCAGCAGGACCAGAUGCUUUCAGGAUAAACCCCUUUAAACCCGCUUUCAUCAUCCCUUCAGUCACAGAUGGCUGUUUACACCUGUAUUACCUGCUUUGUGCAUGACUGGGUGGAUGUUAAGGAGAAUAUCUGUGGCUGCAAACACCAGUGUGUCAAUGCAAUGUGUGUAAAAUAAAGUUGCUUAAAUAUCAUAUAAAUCUCA